UGAGUAACACGUAUGCAAUCCACCUGUAACAGGGGGAUAACCCGGAGAAAUCCGGACUAAUACCCCAUAAUAUGGGCGCUCCGCAUGGAGAGCCCAUCAAAGAGAGCAAUUUUGGUUACAGACGAGCAUGCGCUCCAUUAGCCAGUUGGCGGGGUAACGGCCCACCAAAGCGACGAUGGAUAGGGGUUCUGAGAGGAAGGUCCCCCACAUUGGAACUGAGACACGGUCCAA
rnacentral:rRNA from 1 species